UGGGGAAUUUUGGACAAUGGGCGCAAGCCUGAUCCAGCCAUGCCGCGUGCGGGAAGAAGGCCUUCGGGUUGUAAACCGCUUUUGUCAGGGAAGAAAUCUUCUGAGUUAAUACCUCGGGAGGAUGACGGUACCUGAAGAAUAAGCACCGGCUAACUACGUGCCAGCAGCCGCGGUAAUACGUAGGGUGCAAGCGUUAAUCGGAAUUACUGGGCGUAAAGCGUGCGCAGGCGGUUUUGUAAGACAGAGGUGAAAUCCCCGGGCUCGACCUGGGAACUGCCUUUGUGACUGCAAGGCUUGAGUGCGGCAGAGGGGGGAUGGAAUUCCGCGUGUAGCAGUGAAAUGCGUAGAUAUGCGGAGGAACACUGAUGGCGAAGGCAAUGCCCUGGGCCUGCACUCGACGCUCAUGCACGAAAGCGUGGGGGAGCAAACAGGAUUAGAUACCCUGGUAGUCCACGCCCUAAACGAUGUCGACUGGUUGUUGGGAAGGUUCCUUCUCAGUAACGUAGCUAACGCGUGAAGUUGACCGCCUGGGGAGUACGGCCGCAAGGUUGAAACUUAAAUGAAUUGAC
rnacentral:rRNA from 1 species